UACGGGGGGGGCAAGCGUUGUUCGGAAUUACUGGGCGUAAAGGGCUCGUAGGCGGCCAACUAAGUCGGAUGUGAAAUCCCCAGGCUUAACCUGGGAACUGCAUCCGAUACUGGAUGGCUUGAAUCCGGGAGAGGGAUGCAGAAUUCCAGGUGUAGCGGUGAAAUGCGUAGAUAUCAGGAAGAACACCGGUGGCGAAGGCGCUCUGCUAGGCCGCAACUGACACUGAGGGACGAAAGCUAGGGGAGCGAAUGGG
rnacentral:rRNA from 1 species